rnacentral:rRNA from 1 species
GGUUAAGCGACUAAGCGUACACGGUGGAUGCCCUGGCAGUCAGAGGCGAUGAAGGACGUGCUAAUCUGCGAAAAGCGUCGGUAAGGUGAUAUGAACCGUUAUAACCGGCGAUGUCCGAAUGGGGAAACCCAGUGUGAUUCGUCACACUAUCGUUAACUGAAUACAUAGGUUAACGAGGCGAACCGGGGGAACUGAAACAUCUAAGUACCCCGAGGAAAAGAAAUCAACCGAGAUUCCCCCAGUAGCGGCGAGCGAACGGGGAGCAGCCCAGAGUCUGAAUCAGCUUGUGUGUUAGUGGAACGGUCUGGAAAGUCCGACGGUACAGGGUGAUAGUCCCGUACACCAAAAUGCACAGGUUGUGAACUCGAAGAGUAGGGCGGGACACGUGGUAUCCUGUCUGAAUAUGGGGGGACCAUCCUCCAAGGCUAAAUACUCCUGACUGACCGAUAGUGAACCAGUACCGUGAGGGAAAGGCGAAAAGAACCCCGGCGAGGGGAGUGAAAAAGAACCUGAAACCGUGUACGUACAAGCAGUGGGAGCACCUUCGGGUGUGACUGCGUACCUUUUGUAUAAUGGGUCAGCGACUUAUAUUCUGUAGCAAGGUUAACCGUAUAGGGGAGCCGCAGGGAAACCGAGUCUUAACUGGGCGUUAAGUUGCAGGGUAUAGACCCGAAACCCGGUGAUCUAGCCAUGGGCAGGUUGAAGGUUGGGUAACACUAACUGGAGGACCGAACCGACUAAUGUUGAAAAAUUAGCGGAUGACUUGUGGCUGGGGGUGAAAGGCCAAUCAAACCGGGAGAUAGCUGGUUCUCCCCGAAAGCUAUUUAGGUAGCGCCUCGUGAAUUCAUCUUCGGGGGUAGAGCACUGUUUCGGCUAGGGGGUCAUCCCGACUUACCAACCCGAUGCAAACUACGAAUACCGAAGAAUGUUAUCACGGGAGACACACGGCGGGUGCUAACGUCCGUCGUGAAGAGGGAAACAACCCAGACCGCCAGCUAAGGUCCCAAAGUCAUGGUUAAGUGGGAAACGAUGUGGGAAGGCACAGACAGCCAGGAUGUUGGCUUAGAAGCAGCCAUCAUUUAAAGAAAGCGUAAUAGCUCACUGGUCGAGUCGGCCUGCGCGGAAGAUGUAACGGGGCUAAACCAUGCACCGAAGCUGCGGCAGCGACACUAUGUGUUGUUGGGUAGGGGAGCGUUCUGUAAGCCUGCGAAGGUGACCUGUGAGGGUUGCUGGAGGUAUCAGAAGUGCGAAUGCUGACAUAAGUAACGAUAAAGCGGGUGAAAAGCCCGCUCGCCGGAAGACCAAGGGUUCCUGUCCAACGUUAAUCGGGGCAGGGUGAGUCGACCCCUAAGGCGAGGCCGAAAGGCGUAGUCGAUGGGAAACAGGUUAAUAUUCCUGUACUUGGUGUUACUGCGAAGGGGGGACGGAGAAGGCUAUGUUAGCCGGGCGACGGUUGUCCCGGUUUAAGCAUGUAGGCUGGUUGUCCAGGCAAAUCCGGAUAAUCAAGGCUGAGGUGUGAUGACGAGGCACUACGGUGCUGAAGUAACAAAUGCCCUGCUUCCAGGAAAAGCCUCUAAGCAUCAGGUAACAUUAAAUCGUACCCCAAACCGACACAGGUGGUCAGGUAGAGAAUACCAAGGCGCUUGAGAGAACUCGGGUGAAGGAACUAGGCAAAAUGGUGCCGUAACUUCGGGAGAAGGCACGCUGGUGUGUAGGUGAAGCCCCUGCGGGUGGAGCUGAGACCAGUCGAAGAUACCAGCUGGCUGCAACUGUUUAUUAAAAACACAGCACUGUGCAAACACGAAAGUGGACGUAUACGGUGUGACGCCUGCCCGGUGCCGGAAGGUUAAUUGAUGGGGUUAUCCGUAAGGAGAAGCUCUUGAUCGAAGCCCCGGUAAACGGCGGCCGUAACUAUAACGGUCCUAAGGUAGCGAAAUUCCUUGUCGGGUAAGUUCCGACCUGCACGAAUGGCGUAAUGAUGGCCAGGCUGUCUCCACCCGAGACUCAGUGAAAUUGAACUCGCUGUGAAGAUGCAGUGUACCCGCGGCAAGACGGAAAGACCCCGUGAACCUUUACUAUAGCUUGACACUGAACAUUGAGCCUUGAUGUGUAGGAUAGGUGGGAGGCUUUGAAGCGUGGACGCCAGUCUGCGUGGAGCCAACCUUGAAAUACCACCCUUUAAUGUUUGAUGUUCUAACGUUGGCCCUUACCGGGGUUGCGGACAGUGUCUGGUGGGUAGUUUGACUGGGGCGGUCUCCUCCAAAGCGUAACGGAGGAGCACGAAGGUUAGCUAAUCGGUCGGACAUCAGGAGGUUAGUGCAAUGGCAUAAGCUAGCUUGACUGCGAGCGUGACGGCGCGAGCAGGUGCGAAAGCAGGUCAUAGUGAUCCGGUGGUUCUGAAUGGAAGGGCCAUCGCUCAACGGAUAAAAGGUACUCCGGGGAUAACAGGCUGAUACCGCCCAAGAGUUCAUAUCGACGGCGGUGUUUGGCACCUCGAUGUCGGCUCAUCACAUCCUGGGGCUGAAGUAGGUCCCAAGGGUAUGGCUGUUCGCCAUUUAAAGUGGUACGCGAGCUGGGUUUAGAACGUCGUGAGACAGUUCGGUCCCUAUCUGCCGUGGGCGCUGGAGAAUUGAGGGGGGCUGCUCCUAGUACGAGAGGACCGGAGUGGACGCAUCACUGGUGUUCGGGUUGUCAUGCCAAUGGCACUGCCCGGUAGCUAAAUGCGGAAGAGAUAAGUGCUGAAAGCAUCUAAGCACGAAACUUGCCCCGAGAUGAGUUCUCCCUGAGACUUUAAGUCUCCUGAAGGAACGUUGAAGACGACGACGUUGAUAGGCCGGGUGUGUAAGCGCAGCGAUGCGUUGAGCUAACCGGUACUAAUGAACCGUGAGGCUUAACCUU